GAGAAACCAGGAAGAUGCCCACCAUCUCCACUAAUAUUUUGUAAUCCACCUCCUCCUUAUGAUUGCAACUCGGACAAAGAAUGUGAAGGAAACCUGAAGUGCUGCAGGCAGGGAUGCAAUAAAAGUUGCACGGCUCCCAUCAUUGAUCCCAUCAUUGAGAAGCCCGGGGCUUGCCCAUCACCCUGGUUCGUGUGCCCACAUGAUGAUGUGCCAUUUAAAAUAUGUACUGUGGACAGUGAUUGUACAGGAAACAGGAAAUGCUGUAACAUAAAAUGUAGACAACAGUGCAUCGAAGUGUAAUAAGUGAUGUGAGGCGGCCGGAUGCAUCUCCGUCCCUCACAGCGGAGGACACAUCGCCGAUCAGCCUCAGUAAUUCUCUCUUCUCGCGGCUUUUCCUUCUCUAGUUGCAGAUAACCCUGGGAGGUGACAGCGGUGAAGACACUCAGGGCCGGAUCCGCUGCCCCAGGUGCCCAGUCUGAAUACACCCCCAUUAUAGCCAGAUUUCUCCUCCUUCUCAGCGAUCAUAGUGACAUUUAUCAAUGUAAUAAAGCAGAAGAUGAAAAA